CUACUUAACCCCACAAACACCACCCUCCUGCAUCCAAAUAGUUGGAAAACAGGAGUGUGUCUAUAAUCAACAUGCAUGGUAUGUAAUUCAACCUGUGUAUGUGUCUGUGUGCCUGGAAAUGAGAAGCUGUGUGUGUCUGUCGGUCUAUGAAUGUUUAUCGCUGUGUGUGUCUGUCUGAGAGUAUCAGUUUGUGUAGCUUUGCUUGUCUGUCUAGGAUGUGUGUACUUGUGUCUGAGAGUGUAAAUCAGGAGGAGCCUGUCUAUUUCUUUCGUAAGUGGACUCAACAUUAAUAAUGUCAGCCCCGGUUAAACACCCAUUUAAAUAUUG